UGGUUGGAUCUUCAUUAUCCCCCCUCAAAUUGGAGGGUAGUGAAACAAUCCCCAAUUUGUCUAGCAAAAAUCGGUGAGAUGCCCCAGAUAGGGGUUUUGUGAAUAGAUCUGCAAUCUGCUACUUUGAAGGGACGAAGGACAAAGUAAUGAGACCGGAGACGAACUGUUGUCUUACAAAAUGACAAUCCAGUUCAACAUGUUUCGUCCUUUCGUGGAAGACCGGGUUUUUUGCAAUAUGGAUAACCGCUUGGCUAUCGGAGUGAAGAGUCACCGGCAAGCUAGGAGGAGCGGCAAGAUCUGAUAGAAGCCUUACUAACCAGGAAACGGGUGCUCCACCAAGGGUGAUGAAAAAACCACUGACUGACCGUCGAGAGUCAGUACAAGAUGCCCAAUCAGCAUCGCAGAAAGCAAGUAAUUCGAAAGAUGAAUCAGAGGAGAGGAGGAUCCCUUGACCUGGAUCAUUUUUCAGAUCUGGAGCCUUACAAGCUCCAUUGAUGAAUCCAAGUUUUCUCUUGGCUGAUAAGGCUAGGAGAAUAGAUCUCCUCCAACCUGGAUAUCCUUUGCCAUCAAACACAUUGUUAAUUAAGGCCAUUCCGGGUGAAUCAGAGUUAUUCAGAUGGUAAGGAUGACUGUUAUCGUAAGUGAUGGUUUUGUCUACAUUGCUUGGCUGUACAUUUGGUGUUGCAUCAGCCAUUUUGGUUUAUUGAGAGAUUGAAGGUGAUUUUGAUGAAGGUUUUGGAUCGAGCUCAAACCUGCUCUGAUACCAUAAAAGAAGACACCGAUUUUGCUGAUUUCCCCUCUUAUUCAUUAAUCUGUUCAUUCCUAUAUAUACACGUUAUUGUAAAUAAAAGAGGCUAAGAAAAUACUAAAAAAACUAUACACUUGAACAGAAAAAUAUUCCUUCACAUGACUAGCACGUGAAGGAAGGUUCCUAGUAAAUUCCUAUUUUAUCCAGCUGGCAGAUUUACAACGGCUGGGAUUGAAUUUGUGAAAAUAGAGAUCUGUUCCAUGUGUUUGAAAAUAGAGAUCAGUUCCAUGUGUUUGGCAUCCAAUGCCUUGGUCAACACAGAACAUAUUAAGUGGGAAACAUACUUUUGAAAACUUUUCUACUUUAUGCUUUUGUCUCAAAAGUUUUCUACUUUUGUCUCAAAACUAUUCUCUUUCCUUUUAAACUU